rnacentral:rRNA from 1 species
CAGUCGCCGCGGGAAUACGGAGGGUGCAAGCGUUAAUCGGAAUUACUGGGCGUAAAGCGCACGCAGGCGGUUUGUUAAGUCAGAUGUGAAAUCCCCGAGCUUAACUUGGGAACUGCAUUUGAAACUGGUAAGCUAGAGUCUUGUAGAGGGGGGUAGAAUUCCAGGUGUAGCGGUGAAAUGCGUAGAGAUCUGGAGGAAUACCGGUGGCGAAGGCGGCCCCCUGGACAAAGACUGACGCUCAGGUGCGAAAGCGUGGGGAGCAAACAGGAUUAGAUACCCGGGUAGUCCCUGUCUCUUAUAA